UCGAAAAGACGACACAAUUUCAUCUCUUUUACUGUGAUACCCACUCUCACACGAGUUUCGUUUAAAUAAUGACGAUGAAGCUUUCAUUUCUGUCUGUUGUUUCUCUGUCUGUCAUUGUCUACAAGGAAACCCACCGUCGUUUGCAAGGGUUUCACUUAGGGCUUUUCGUCUACCAGCUCCUCCUCUCUCUGCUAGUAUUAGACACUUGAAGCUAACGAUUCAAGAGAGUUUGGCUCAAAGGGAAAAUUAGGGUUAAUUUAACGUUUUCAUUCACGUCCCUUCUCACUCGCAAUAAGGGUACCGACACUUCCUUCUCCCUUCCACUGUCGAUUUCCAGUCGCUUGACGCCGCAGGUGAGUUCUCUACCCCCUCCUUAUGUUUAAUUUCCUUUUAAUUUUCUUCUCUUUCGAAAAUCUAUCUCCUUUGCCUCACAUUCUCUCAUUCCCUUCUACGCUUAUUGGUCGCCCAUCAGUCGCCGCCGGAGCUCCCUCUAUCAUAUCAGACAAAAUCAGAUCUCAUCCAUUUUUUUCUAUCAUCAAUUUGGAAACUCCUCAUUCUCCCAACUUUUUUUGGAAAAUUUUGAUGUCGUCUUCUUCUUCCACAUCUUUGUGUAUAAAUAUGAAACUUAGAACUUUUAAUUUCCUCAAGAUUACUUGUUUUCUAUAUGAAUUUUUUCAUUAGUUUUUCGGUUCCCCCAAUUAAUUUUUGAUCUUUCAUUUUCCUUUUUUUCCUUUACAUGCUAAACAUUUUAGUAUUAAAGAGAAAUUCUGUUUCAAUGGUUCUUAACUUAUAUAAGUUGUUACUAAGUAUAGCAGAACAAAAGUGAAUAAAUUUUCUAGAAAAAAAAUGAACACUUCAUUGAUUUCAAAAUAUAUUCUGCACAUUUGUUUCAAAUGUAAAAGAAAUAUAUAUUAAAUUCCUCAACUUUUGAGAAACAUAUAAAACAUUUUUAAGUAUGAUAUGUCUAUCCAAAUAACUUCAAAUCUCCCGCUGCUUCAAUUGAGACAAUCUCUCUUGUUCCAAAAUUUGAGGAUGAUCUGUCCUUCUGAUCUACAAGCUUUUCAACAAUUAGUUCCCUAAAAUGAGAAGUAAAUAUGAUUAGGGGCUCAUAAAUCUAGUAUUUAGGUUGAAGUUACAUAUUCCACUAAGCACGUUUCAAUAGUUUAAUAAAUCAUAUUUACCUUAUACUUCCUUUUUAGCUUUCUUCUCAGCAAGGCACUUCAGGCAAUUUCUAAACCAAUGCUCUUUUUGGUUAUAGUGAUAACAUUUUACCUUUCAAAACUUUCUUUGUUAUAGUGAUAACAUUUUACGUUUCAGAACUUUAUUUCCCUUACUAUUCUUGAGAGUCUUCUCCUUUUCUUUUUUCUUCAUUUGUAAAGGCCCAACUUUAGUUUUAGAGGACAAUCCUUAUAUAAACUCUUUCUUUGUGGUAACAACAUUUGCUUCUACUUCCUUCUCCUUUCCUAUGCUAAUGUUUUGGAAUCGUUGGAGCUCAUUCAAAAGGGUGGUAAGAGUAAACUCUAUCUUAUUUAAAGAUGCAUUCAUUUUAAAUGCAUGGUACAAAACUCUUCAAAAGAGAUUGUAAAAUAAAGCUCACCUGAUUUGCCUCAUCGAUGAGACAAUCAUAAUUUACUUCAGCAAUAUUGAAAUGCAUCAUUAUGUCCAGAACACGUUCUCUAA